rnacentral:rRNA from 1 species
AUUGAACGCUGGCGGCAUGCCUUACACAUGCAAGUCGAACGGUAACAGGUCUUCGGAUGCUGACGAGUGGCGAACGGGUGAGUAAUACAUCGGAACGUGCCCGAGAGUGGGGGAUAACGAAGCGAAAGCUUUGCUAAUACCGCAUACGAUCUCAGGAUGAAAGCCGGGGACCGCAAGGCCUUGCGCUCACGGAGCGGCCGAUGGCAGAUUAGGUAGUUGGUGGGAUAAAAGCUUACCAAGCCGACGAUCUGUAGCUGGUCUGAGAGGACGACCAGCCACAGUGGGACUGAGACACGGCCCAGACUCCUACGGGAGGCAGCAGUGGGGAAUUUUGGACAAUGGGCGCAAGCCUGAUCCAGCCAUGCCGCGUGCAGGAUGAAGGCCUUCGGGUUAUAAACUGCUGUUGUACGGAAAGAAAAGACUCUGGUUAAUACCUGGGGUCCAUGACGGUACCGUAAGAAUAAGCACCGGCUAACUACGUGCCAGCCGCCGCCGUAAAAC